CCUACGGGGCGCAGCAGUGAGGAAUAUUGGUCAAUGGGCGCGAGCCUGAACCAGCCAAGUCGCGUGAGGGAUGACGGCCCUACGGGUUGUAAACCUCUUUUGUCGGGGAGCAAAUUCCGUUACGUGUAACGGAGUCGAGAGUACCCGAAGAAAAAGCAUCGGCUAACUCCGUGCCAGCAGCCGCGGUAAUACGGAGGAUGCGAGCGUUAUCCGGAUUUAUUGGGUUUAAAGGGUGCGUAGGCGGACUGUCAAGUCAGCGGUAAAAUACGGGGGCUCAACCUCCGCCCGCCGUUGAAACUGACGGU
rnacentral:rRNA from 1 species